rnacentral:rRNA from 1 species
AGUGAACGCUGGCGGUAGGCCUAACACAUGCAAGUCGAACGGCAGCACAGUAAGAGCUUGCUCUUACGGGUGGCGAGUGGCGGACGGGUGAUGAAUACAUCGGAAUCUACUUUUUCGUGGGGGAUAACGUAGGGAAACUUACGCUAAUACCGCAUACGACCUACGGGUGAAAGCAGGGGAUCUUCGGACCUUGCGCGAUUGAAUGAGCCGAUGUCGGAUUAGCUAGUUGGCGGGGUAAAGGCCCACCAAGGCGACGAUCCGUAGCUGGUCUGAGAGGAUGAUCAGCCACACUGGAACUGAGACACGGUCCAGACUCCUACGGGAGGCAGCAGUGGGGAAUAUUGGACAAUGGGCGCAAGCCUGAUCCAGCCAUACCGCGUGGGUGAAGAAGGCCUUCGGGUUGUAAGGCCCUUUUGUUGGGAAAGAAAAGCAGCAGGUUAAUACCCCGCUGUGAUGACGGUACCCAAAGAAUAAGCACCGGCUAACUUCGUG